rnacentral:rRNA from 1 species
AUACGGAGGGUGCAAGCGUUAAUCGGAAUUACUGGGCGUAAAGCGCGCGUAGGCGGUUUAGUAAGUCGGAUGUGAAAGCCCUGGGCUCAACCUGGGAAUUGCAUUCGAUACUGCUUGACUAGAGUAUGGUAGAGGGAAGUGGAAUUUCCGGUGUAGCGGUGAAAUGCGUAGAUAUCGGAAGGAACACCAGUGGCGAAGGCGACUUCCUGGGCCAAUACUGACGCUGAGGCACGAAAGCGUGGGGAGCAAACAGGAUUAGAUACCCUAGUAGUCC